rnacentral:rRNA from 1 species
UACGUAGGGGGCUAGCGUUGUCCGGAAUCAUUGGGCGUAAAGCGCGUGUAGGCGGUCCGGUAAGUCCGCUGUGAAAGUCGGGGGCUCAACCCUCGGAUGCCGGUGGAUACUGUCGGGCUUGAGUACGGAAGAGGCGAGUGGAAUUCCUGGUGUAGCGGUGAAAUGCGCAGAUAUCAGGAGGAACACCAAUUGCGAAGGCAGCUCGCUGGGACGUUACUGACGCUGAGACGCGAAGCGUGGGAGCAAACAGG